rnacentral:rRNA from 1 species
GAUGAACGCUGGCGGCGUGCCUAAUACAUGCAAGUCGAGCGAAUGGAUUAAGAGCUUGCUCUUAUGAAGUUAGCGGCGGACGGGUGAGUAACACGUGGGUAACCUGCCCAUAAGACUGGGAUAACUCCGGGAAACCGGGGCUAAUACCGGAUAACAUUUUGAACCGCAUGGUUCGAAAUUGAAAGGCGGCUUCUGCUGUCACUCAUGGAUGGACCCGCGUCGCAUUAGCUAGUUGGUGAGGUAACGGCUCACCAAGGCAACGAUGCGUAGCCGACCUGAGAGGGUGAUCGGCCACACUGGGACUGAGACACGGCCCAGACUCCUACGGGAGGCAGCAGUAGGGAAUCUUCCGCAAUGGACGAAAGUCUGACGGAGCAACGCCGCGUGAGUGAUGAAGGCUUUCGGGUCGUAAAACUCUGUUGUUAGGGAAGAACAAGUGCUAGUUGAAUAAGCUGACACCUUGACGGUACCUAACCAGAAAGCCACGGCUAACUACGUGCCAGCCGCCGCAGUAA